AAUCUCCUCUCUAGAUAUUUUUAUUCUCUCAUAGUAUCAGAGCAGUAGUACUUAUCCCUACUCUCUUUAUUGUUUCUUUUUUCUUCAUUAGACAUGACAGAAAGCACUGAAACGAUUGCUAGGACUCAAGUACCCGUUGAUCCAAGCAACCCAAAUCAUCCUUACUUUAUAUCCCCAUCAAAUUCUCCAGAUAUCUUGUUGGUGAAUUUAGUCUUCAAUGAUAAAAGCUUUGCUGGGUAAAAACAAUCCAAGUGGAUAGCUUUCAGUAUGAAAAAUAAAUUUGAAUUUGUAGAUGGAUCCACCAAAGAGCCCAAAGCGGCUCAAGGUCAUGCAGUGACAUCCAAUGAGUUUUUUGGAGAUUCUUUCAUGCAUGAUGAAGAUCCUACAGAUCAGGGAAAAUUCCUUACAAUAUAAUAGUUAGCUCAAGUGAAACAAAUGUUUCAACAAGCGUUUUCAGUGAACAAAGUAGCAAUAAUUCUAAUGCCAUACCCUUUAUUAACUGUGCUGCUAAAAUGGCUCCAAGAAAGAGAAAUAAUAAUUCAAGCACUUCUCCUCGAAAAUCUAAAAGAAUUAGUACACAAGCCCAAAGAUUAAAAAAAAGCAGAAGCAGCAACAUCUCCUAAUAAAGUGGCACUAAUUGCCGAAAAGAAGAAGAAGCGGAAGAAGCAACAUCUCCUAAAAAAUUGACACUACUUGUUGAUUAUCCCACGAUUUCAGAUAGUCAGAAAGCUUCUAGCCCUAGACAUACGGAUGAGCUUUCUGAGUCCCAACAUCAAUCUACAGUGGAGAAGUCUACACAAGAAGAAGAAAAUGUAGAUGAUAAAGAUUAUUAUUCAUCAAAACAGGCAAGCAAAUCAGAACACCAAAAAAAUUCUGAAAAUAGAGAUUUCUUUGAUGUCAGAAAUGGUGAUCAGGUUGGUGAUGUUGAGAAUGUCUUGAGGAUGAUGAUAAUGAUUUGUUUCUUGAAAAAAGAACAAAAUACCUUCAUGAUAGACUCGUCCUUCAUCUUUUGUUGUCGAUUCUCCUUCUGACAGUCCUU